rnacentral:lncRNA from 1 species
UUUGAAGGCUUAGAUUUCAGACUUGAAAUACAAAAGGAAUCUAAAGGGAAGAAAAACUUAAAAUGUGGUUUGAUAUUUCAGAGCUUUAAAAAAUCUCUAUUAUCUAUCUAUCUAUCUAUCUAUCUAUCUAUCUAUCUAUCUAUCUAUCAUCUAACCCUUCUAUUCAUUUGGAUUCACCAGAGAGAGAAAAUGACCAUCUCCAUGAGCAUCUUGAGACAAGAGAAACAGCAGAACUUACUUCCUUUCCUUUUACUGAGGAAAGAAAAUCCCCCCUUGGGAGAUAAACUUCCUUAAAAACAAAGAACAAGUGAAUUCACAUAGGGGACAUGCAAUGUACAUGAGACUGCAUGAAGAAAUAUAUUUAAUAUAAAUAAAUCUCAAACAUCUACAGAGACUGCA